rnacentral:rRNA from 1 species
UACGGAGGAGGCAAGCGUUAUCCGGAAUUAUUGGGCGUAAAGCGUCCGCAGGUGGCACUUCAAGUCUGUCGUCAAAGACUGGGGCUUAACCCUGGAAAGGCGGUGGAAACUGAAGCGCUAGAGUGCGGUAGGGGUAGAGGGAAUUCCCGGUGUAGCGGUGAAAUGCGUAGAGAUCAGGAAGAACACCGGUGGCGAAAGCGCUCUGCUGGACCUUAACUGACACUCAGGGACGAAAGCUAGGGGAGCGAAUGGG